CUACUACUACUACUACUACUACUAUUGUAGAUACCACUUGUUGACGAUGACCGGGCGUCGCGUUACUCGUCUCGACGACUCGAUUUAAACCGUAAUUUGAUACCUAUUGUUUUUGAUUUUGUUUUUUAUUUUUGUUUUGCGUACGCAAAACCAACGUUCGCAUAUAUACACACACACACACACAUAUAUAUACAUAUAUUUAUUUAUAAUAAUAACUGUAUUCGAUAUUUCCGCACGUUUAUCUCGUGCAAUAUUUAUACAAUUGUCGUUUCACGACAUGUUUCGACACACUCGAUAUUGACAUUCGGUACUUUUCGUUAUCCACGCGUGUGUCACUCCCGGGGGCGGGACGCUCCGUUGACAUUUGCGCGUGCGCACGUCCCGGCGUGCGAUUCGUAUCCAACGGGCGAUUGUUGAAAUCAUAUUCGUUUUAUCGACUCCCAGUCAGUGAAGAGAAAAAAAAAAAAAAAACAAAAAAAAACUGUAUAGGAACGCGUUUACGGUACACCGUUUAAAAUACCACUAUCCGUUAAUUUCGAAUGUUUAGAUUGAAAAACAAAAAGAACGUUUCAUUAUUGUUUUUUUUUUUUUUUUCUUUUUAUCUUUUAUUUAUUUAUUACUAUUAUUAUUUUUAUUAUUAUUAGUACCUAUUAGUGUCCUAUAUUAUGUUUUAGAUACCUAACUCGUGUUGUGAUCGUAAUAAUAUACUAUUUAUUUUGUUUUAUCUCUCCAACACCCCCAUUUUCGGGACGGUUAAUGAACACAAUUACACUUGUGAAACCCGUCGUGUGUUUACGUUAGUUUAAACGAUUAUUAUAAUUUUUUUUUUUUUUUUUUUUUUUUUUAUUAUGCCUACAGUUUUAGAACGUUAUUUUUUUUUCUGAAUUAUUAUACAAUUGAAUAGGUAUGAUUGAACUCACUAUUGUAGUGUACAUAGUUUGUAGAACGACGAUUAUUUGACUUGUAUUAAUUUAUGUAUUUUUUUUUUUUUUUCUAAUAUUAGCGUUGUGUGUUAUUAUACUAUUAUACCCUUAAAUUGGCAAACAUCAAAUGAAAAAUUUAACAAAAUAAUCUAUGAAAAAUACCGAUAGCUUCGAACACCCCGUAUCUAAUAACCAGAGAAAAAUAAAAAACUAUUUUUAAUUUGUAUUUUAAAAGUGGCAUUGUUAAAAAAAAAUAUAAUAUCACACAUCCAUUUUAUUUCCGCCGUUUAAUUAGAAAGAAGUGCCCAAUGAGUAUAUUAUUUUUCCGAUUGUGAGAAAAUCUUUGAAACAAUAUUUUCUUUCUUUAUUCAGAACAAAGUUUAUCAACAUUCGGUUGCUUACAGUACUUAUAAUUUUUUUUUUUUAUUAUUAAACAAUGUAACAAUUAAAAACUACUGUUUUACUGUCUGUAUUAUAAGAAUUUCCAUUUGAAAACAUUUACCGUUAAAAAUUGAUACAACUUAUAAUAUUAUAAUGCCAAGUUAAGGGUUAGUAUCUAUUAUUAUUUAUGUUUCAAAAACUAUCGUUGUAUCAUUGAUCAAUGUAUCAUGCAUAUCUUUGGGUAUCUAUACCAAAUACCAAAUCGUGGUGCACGUUUUUUUUUUUUUCGCUAGUUUUUAAGUAUUUUUCUAUUUUUUCUUUUUGAUUUUCAGAAUUAUUAAUAACGAUUAUGAGUAUAACGUUGUCAUUGUUUGGGCGACAUCAAAUUUAAAAGAUGAAAACAAUAAAAUAUUGUCAUUAUAAAUAUUAUUACUGUAAUACCACGUGUGAGUUGUUUUAUAUUGGCUUGUAAUGAGUAUAUUGUCACUCAUAUAGGUACAAUUACGUUGUAAGCUCAUACCUAUAAUUAAUAAUUUGGAAAAAAGAACGCCCCAAACAAGUUAAAUUCCUACAUUUUAAUCCUAU